rnacentral:rRNA from 1 species
CCCCUAGAUGUUCUGGGCCGCACGCGCGCUACACUGAACAGUUCAACAAGUCUUAACCUUGGCCGAUAGGUCUGGGUAAUCUUUGAACGCUGUUCGUGAUUGGGAUAGACCUUUGCAAUUAUGGGUCUUCAACGAGGAAUUCCUAGUAAACGUAAGUCAUCAGCUUGCAUUGAUUACGUCCCUGCCCUUUGUACACACCGCCCGUCGCACCUACCGAUUGAAUGGUCCGGUGAAAUCUCGGGACGGCGGCUUGGUCGCUUGCGUCCGACUGCUGAAACUUGAUUAAACCAUAUCAUUUAGAGGAAGGUGAAGUCGUAACA